rnacentral:rRNA from 1 species
UACGUAGGGGGCUAGCGUUGUCCGGAAUUACUGGGCGUAAAGGGUGCGUAGGCGGCGCCUUAAGUCAGAUGUGAAAUAUCCAGGCUUAACCUGGAGGGUGCAUCUGAUACUGGGGUGCUUGAGUGCAGGAGAGGAAAGUGGAAUUCCUAGUGUAGCGGUGAAAUGCGUAGAUAUUAGGAGGAACACCAGUGGCGAAGGCGACUCUCUGGACUGUAACUGACGCUGAGGCACGAAAGCGUGGGGAG